rnacentral:misc_RNA from 1 species
GAACGCACCUUGCGCUCCUUGGUAUUCCGAGGAGCAUGCCUGUUUGAGUGUCAUUUAAUUCUCAAUCUCUACAAACUUGUGUUGUUAGUGGAUUGGAGGUGGGGGUUUCUGUGGGUGUAUUUUUUAUAUCCACUCCCCUGAAAAUUAUUAGCUGGAAUGCCUUUGCAAAACCAACUAUCAGUAUGAUAAUUAUCUAUUCUGAUGUUGCUGUGAAGGGAAUCUGCUUUCAAACCGUCAUUCUGACACUUUGAAUCCAUUUGACCUCAAAUCAGGUAGGACUACCCGCUGAACUUAAG